CACUAGGAAGCUAACCAGGGUAACAGCAUUGGCCUUUUAAGCCAAAGAUUGGUGCCUCCCAACCACCCCUAGUGA
rnacentral:tRNA from 1 species